GGUGGGUUGGCUCAGUGGUUAGAGCGUAGGUCUCGUAAACAAAAGGUCUCACAGAUCGAAUCCCGCU
rnacentral:tRNA from 1 species